rnacentral:rRNA from 1 species
AACGCGAAGAACCUUACCCAGACUUGACAUCCAGAGAACUUCCCAGAGAUGGGAGGGUGCCCGCAAGGGAGCUCUGAGACAGGUGCUGCAUGGCUGUCGUCAGCUCGUGUCGUGAGAUGUUGGGUUAAGUCCCGCAACGAGCGCAACCCUUAUCUUCAGUUGCUACCAUUUAGUUGAGCACUCUGACGAAACCGCCUCGGAUAACAGGGAGGAAGGUGGGGAUGACGUCAAGUCCUCAUGGCCUUUAUGUCCAGGGCUACACACGUGCUACAAUGGCCGGUACAAACCGCUGCAAACCCGCGAGGGGGAGCUAAUCGGAAAAAGCCGGCCUCAGUUCGGAUUGGAGUCUGCAACUCGACUCCAUGAAGCUGGAAUCGCUAGUAAUCGUGGAUCAGCAUGCCACGGUGAAUACGUUCCCGGGCCUUGUACACACGAGACGAC